UACAGAGGGGGCAAGCGUUAUUCGGAAUUAUUGGGCGUAAAGGGCGCGUAGGCGGCCUGGCAAGUGGAAGGUGAAAUCCCUCGGCUUAACCGAGGAACUGCCUCCCAAACUGCUUGGCUUGAGACCGGGAGAGGUGAGUGGAAUUCCCAGUGUAGCGGUGAAAUGCGCAGAUAUCGGGAGGAACACCUAUGGCGAAGGCAGCUCGCUGGGACGUUACUGACGCUGAGACGCGAAAGCGUGGGGAGCAAACAGG
rnacentral:rRNA from 1 species